AUGGCAUGGAUUGAACUUGACACUUGUUAUUUGACACAUGAUAGCUCUGCUUCAUUGCAAUUCAAAUUGCAAAGUUGGAGGCAAUUUUUCGAGCAGUUAGGUGUGACUGAUUUUGUUCAGGUAAUGGAAGUUGAGAAGAAUGUAUUUGAGGCUGAUGACUGUCAAAAUGGUACUCCCUUCCAAGGUGGUAUACCUGGAACACCUUAUAUUGUGUAUGACUGGGAGUCACCAGAAUUGAUGACUAUGUUAUCAACACUCACCUCAAAGAAUUUGCGAGAAAAUUGUAUAUAUCUUCUGAAGGUUCUAGACAAAUACUGGAAUGAUUAUUAUAGUACAAAAUCUAGGAGUCUCACAAAUGCAACAGAUUGUGGUGAAAAGAGAAAAGUUGACUCUUCCUUUAUGAAGUGUCUGCGAAACUUCAAGUGGAUAGCAUCGAGUAUGGAUAAGGACCUCCAUUACGCAAGAGAUCUAUUCUGUGAUUUUAAAAAUGUGCGCUCUCUUCUUGGCAGCGUCGCCCCAUAUGCUAAACCACUGUUAUCAAGCACAUUACUUAGGAAGGAUAUUGGAUUCAAGACAACAGUAUCCCACAGUGACGCUUUAUUGAUCCUCAAUCACUGGAUAGCAUCACAAGCUAAUUUUAGUGCAAGAAUGGACCAGAUGUGCAAAUUCUACACCUUCAUGUCAGAAGGUGCCGCUAGUGGAGAGAUCAACAUUAAACGCGAUUUCCUACCACGCUGCUCUAUAUUUACACCACUGCAUGGUUCACCAUCAACUAAUUCUGUAACCGGGAGAUUUAUGUCUUCAAAUGAUUUGUAUUGGCAUGACCCAACAGGCUGUUGUGAAAAGAUAUAUGCAUCCAUUUUAAUGAAGGGGAAUAUGUUUCUGAGAAAGAUGUUGUCUGUGGCUUAUCCAAGCCUCCAUGAUUUCUUUACUGAGACGUGUGGUGUACCAAAGAUACCAACGACAUCUGAGUACCUUGAGAUACUGCUCCGGCUAUCAAGUGUUGCAUUGCCUUCACAAGUAGCCAAUCAUGUGUUUCGUGUAUUUGUGAGAUGGGUUAAUGAUCUCCAUUCUGGAAGUUAUAAGAUGGACGAUAUCUUGUUCUUGAAAGAAUCUCUUCAGAAGUUGGAAACAAUGGUAUUGCCAACCCUGGGUCACAGAUGGGUGUCCCUCCAUCCAUCUUUUGGUCUUGUUUGCUGGGCAGAUGAUGAUGAACUGAAGCAGCAAUUUCAGAACACUCGUGAGGUCGAAUUUAUACAAUUUGGUGAACUUUCUCUUGAUGACAAACAAAAACUCGAUGGGAGGGUUGCUGCAUUGAUGAACAUUAUAGGUAUUCCGGCACUUUCUAAGGUUGUGUACCGAGAACCAAUGCAUUCUGGUACAGGGAACAACAGAGGAAAGGCUAGUUUACUUAAUUGGCUUUUACCAUAUAUGCAACGUUACAUCUACAAGAUGCAUAGAGAUACUUACAAUAAAUUUCAGCAAAAUGAGGCCACGAAGCUUAGCAGUCUUGAAGUUAUUGUUGUUGAGAAGUUAUCCUACAAGUAUAUGCUGAAAGGACGUGAUAGUUCUUGUGAGGGAAGAUUUGAAUGCUCUUGUCUUUUACAGGGAAAUAUUUUAUAUGCUACUCAAGAAGCUGAUUCACAUUCGAUUCUUCUGGAAAUUUCUAAACUUUUCUUUGAUGGAUCUGUUGAUCUACACUUCGCAAAUUUUCUUCACAUGGUCAAAACCAUGUCAGAAUCUGGCUCCGCAGUGGAACAAAUUGAGUUUUUUAUUGUCAAUAAUCAGAAGGUGCCUCCGUUACCUGAACAGGAACCUGCUUGGUCCUUUUCUUCAUCGUUUGUCGCCGAGGAAAUAUUUAGUUCCCCAACAGCUGAACUCCAACCUCCGGAUGAACCCAGACGCCCCCUCAAGCGUAACAAGAACCCAGGAAUCAUUGAAAGCCACCCACCGAAUAAUCCUGAAACAGCACCUGAUCUUGAAACCUCUUACAUAAGCCAGGAAGAGAUAAAGGUGAAUGAUACUGCAUCUUCAUCAGAGCUUAGCAAGCCUGUCGUGUGUGGACCCAUGGAAGAUACUUCAGUUCCCAUCAAGGUUGAAGGGGAUCAUGUCGUGAAAGAGAAUUCAACAACAGAACAUAUGCUAGGCGUACAGAGUACGAUUGAAGUUGAUGAUGAGCCUGCUUGUUUGGACUUGGAAGCAGGAAGCUCACCAAGUCUGAUUGAUGAAACUGAGCUAACCGAUGUUGAUGAGAAACUCGCUGAUGUUGCAGAAGAUGGAAGCGAGUUAGGAGCUGGCACGCCUGGUAAUGCCACAGUUCACAAGCCAGAUGAGCGGUUAAGAACCGGCAGGCUUGGUGAAGCUGGUACACCAACACCUUGCCGGGCAGCUGGGACCUAG
rnacentral:rRNA from 1 species